GACGUAGGGCGCGAGCGUUGUCCGGAUUUAUUGGGCGUAAAGAGCUCGUAGGCGGCUUGUCGCGUCGUCCGUGAAAACCUGGGGCUCAACCCCAGGCUUGCGGUCGAUACGGGCAGGCUCGAGUUCGGUAGGGGAGACUGGAAUUCCUGGUGUAGCGGUGAAAUGCGCAGAUAUCAGGAGGAACACCGGUGGCGAAGGCGGGUCUCUGGGCCGACAUUGACGCUGAGGAGCGAAAGCGUGGGGAGCGAACAGG
rnacentral:rRNA from 1 species